rnacentral:lncRNA from 10 species
CAACUGAUGCAUCUUCUAACCAGGCUGGGAACACAACACGCGCACACGCGCACACACACACGCACGCACCCACCCCACCCGGCUGCCGGACGCAAGCGUAAGUCAAGGACUUGCAUGCUAGAAUCAGACAGAAAAUCCAGAAAAGCCACGUUAUUUAACAGAACCCUACAAGGUCAGCUUUGAGUCAAAGCAGGCCACAUUUCUCUCGGCCCUCGCGAGUGAGGUCGCCAAAUACUCGACGCCUCAAGAGCGAGCCGAGGAGGCAGAGGCCGACCAAGCCGGCCUCUCGGCAGCCCCGCCCGGCGCCCCGCGGAGAACGCCCGGGUGCGGCUCGAGGGAAGUUGUGUCAAGUCCCACGCGCGGCCCGCGGAGAACCCAGGGGCGGCCCGCGCGCGUCGGCCUAGCGGGGAGGGCUGCUCCGGGACACGGUGCGGCGGCCGCGGGCGAGUUGGACGCGCUGGCAGAGCCGGGCCGAAGGCGGCGGGCGUCUCCGGGCAGCCAUGUUCGCGGCGCCCGCCCGCGCAGCAGGACGGAGCCCUGACAGCAAUGUUUGCUACGGCCUCCCUCUGCAGUCAGCCUAAAGCAAGGAGCUGGAGGUAGAUGAGGCAAAGGUAAAGGAGACCAAAACAGUAUUUUAAAGAAAAAAUCAUUUAUCUUCAAAUAGGCUCCAAACCUAAGGUGGUGUAUACUGUUAGAGGACAAGAACCUGCUUCUAGCCAUCUUUGCGUCUCCAGGACCUGACUUGUGACCAUUCAAUAAGAGUUUGAUAGAUGGACAGACUAAUGAAUAGAUGAAGAUGAUUAGAAGCCAAAAUUUCUGAAUCUUCCUAGCACCCAGAACAUGGCUUAACAUCAAGGAAAUGCUCACUAAAUACUGUCAUAAUGGAAUGAAUGGAACCGAUGCCUAAUUGAAAAUCAUUAGGCUGUAAACCAUUUCCAUGUUCCAAUUUCUUC